rnacentral:rRNA from 1 species
GACGAACGCUGGCGGCGUGCCUAAUACAUGCAAGUCGAACGCUUCUUUCCUCCCGAGUGCUUGCACUCAAUUGGAAAGAGGAGUGGCGGACGGGUGAGUAACACGUGGGUAACCUACCCAUCAGAGGGGGAUAACACUUGGAAACAGGUGCUAAUACCGCAUAACAGUUUAUGCCGCAUGGCAUAAGAGUGAAAGGCGCUUUCGGGUGUCGCUGAUGGAUGGACCCGCGGUGCAUUAGCUAGUUGGUGAGGUAACGGCUCACCAAGGCCACGAUGCAUAGCCGACCUGAGAGGGUGAUCGGCCACACUGGGACUGAGACACGGCCCAGACUCCUACGGGAGGCAGCAGUAGGGAAUCUUCGGCAAUGGACGAAAGUCUGACCGAGCAGCGCCGCGUGAGUGAAGAAGGUUUUCGGAUCGUAAAACUCUGUUGUUAGAGAAGAACAAGGACGUUAGUAACUGAACGUCCCCUGACGGUAUCUAACCAGAAAGCCACGGCUAACUACGUG